GAUUAGUCAGGAAGAAGGGGUUGGAUUCAAAUCGAGAGUGGACGUAUAAGAUCCGUCCUGAUUCGUGGUUGAACUUCUUAGAAGCCACUUUCUGAGAGAUCAAAACCAUUAUCGUCUGUUUUAUCUGUUCAUGGGGUGUUACUCAUAUAUGAGAGCAAAACGUCACCUCUGAAUGCUUUUCCACAGAACAUCAGAUGAAGUAAAACCAAAGUUAAAGGCAGAUCCUGUCCAGCUUUAACAGGAUGAGAAGAAGAAGACUGUCCUGAAACAACAAGUCCACCAAAACCUCCAGUUCUCACCCAGCUUUAGAUACCAACCAUCCUGAUGGUUUGAGAUUCUCCAAAACGAGGAGUAGUGAGGACAGGAUAAAUGGAGACCAAGAAGAGGAAUCCUCUCCUGUUCGUCCUGCUUCAUUUUCUUCAAGUCUGCGCCUUUGCAAGUUCUGAGUGUCCCAGCCUUCCACAACAGAAUCUCACUUGUUACAACGACUACAGUAAGAACAUCACGUGUUUGUGGAACAGCACAAACAUGUCCGAUGACACCAACAGUGUUUGCACAAUAAACGCCAA